rnacentral:rRNA from 1 species
CGCGUGAGGGAGGAGGUUUUUGGAUUGUAAACCUCUUUUUUAAAGGAAGAAGAAAGUGACGGUACUUUAAGAAUCAGCAUCGGCUAACUCCGUGCCAGCAGCCGCGGUAAUACGGAGGAUGCAAGCGUUAUCCGGAAUCAUUGGGCGUAAAGCGUCCGCAGGUGGCUGUUCAAGUCUGCUGUUAAAGACAGAAGCUCAACUUCUGAACAGCAGUGGAAACUGGACGGCUAGAGUACGGUAGGGGUUGAGGGAAUUCCCAGUGUAGCGGUGAAAUGCGUAGAUAUUGGGAAGAACACCAGUGGCGAAGGCGCUCAACUGGAUCGUAACUGACACUCAGGGACGAAAGCUAGGGUAGCGAAAGGGAUUAGAUACCCCUGUAG